GACGAAGGACCCGAGCGUUAUCCGGAUUCAUUGGGUUUAAAGGGUGCGUAGGCGGAUUGAUAAGUCAGUGGUGAAAGCCUGUUGCUUAACAACAGAACUGCCAUUGAUACUGUUGAUCUUGAAUAUGUUUUGAUGUGGGCGGAAUAUGACAUGUAGCGGUGAAAUGCUUAGAUAUGUCAUAGAACACCGAUUGCGAAGGCAGCUCACAAAGCCAUUAUUGACGCUGAGGCACGAAAAGCGUGGGGAUCAAACAGG
rnacentral:rRNA from 1 species